AUUGAACGCUGGCGGCAUGCCUUACACAUGCAAGUCGAACGGUAACAGAUCUUCGGAUGCUGACGAGUGGCGAACGGGUGAGUAAUACAUCGGAACGUGCCCGAUCGUGGGGGAUAACGAAGCGAAAGCUUUGCUAAUACCGCAUACGAUCUACGGAUGAAAGCAGGGGACCGCAAGGCCUUGCGCGAACGGAGCGGCCGAUGGCAGAUUAGGUAGUUGGUGGGAUAAAAGCUUACCAAGCCGACGAUCUGUAGCUGGUCUGAGAGGACGACCAGCCACACUGGGACUGAGACACGGCCCAGACUCCUACGGGAGGCAGCAGUGGGGAAUUUUGGACAAUGGGCGAAAGCCUGAUCCAGCCAUGCCGCGUGCAGGAUGACGGCCUUCGGGUUGUAAACUGCUUUUGUACGGAACGAAAAGACUCUGGUUAAUACCUGGGGUCCAUGACGGUACCAUAAGAAUAAGCACCGGCUAACUACGUGCCAGCCGCCGCCGUAA
rnacentral:rRNA from 1 species